AUGUCUUACUCCUCCUCCUCCGGCGCCUCCCAACCUACCCUCAAUGGACAGGUCACCGAGAAGCUAACACGCACGAACUACGUGUUGUGGCGCACGCAGGUCACUCCCCAUCUGCGUGGCGCCGGUGUCUUCGGCUACGUCGACGGCACCACGCCGGAGCCGGCCAGGCUUCAUGUCACCAAGGACAAGGAUGGCAAAGAAAGCUCUGCGCCCAACCCUCUCCACCCGAUCUGGGUCAAGGAGGACCAGCAGGUGUUGGGCUACUUGCUCAGCACCCUCUCCAAGGAGGUGCUCGUCACGGUGACCACGGUCACCACGUCGCUCGCGCUCUGAACCACGUUGGUAGGUAUGUUCUCAUCACAGUCCAUGAGCCGUGUGAACAAUAUCAGGACGGCGCUCAUCAACGCCCAGAAGGGCAACCAAACGGUCGCCGCCUACUUCGCCUCUCUCCGCGGCCUCGCCGAUGAGCUUGCGGCUGCGAGGAAGGCAAUCCAAGACGACGAGCUCAUCUCCUACAUCAUCCAC
rnacentral:rRNA from 1 species